AUUGAACGCUGGCGGCAGGCCUAACACAUGCAAGUCGAGCGGAGCGGCGGACGGGGGAGUAAUGACUAUGUAUCUGACUGGGAGGGGGGGAUGACGACCGGAAACGGGCGCUAAUACCGCAUACUAUCGGACGAGCCUAGACCGGAUUAGCUAGUAGGUGGGGUAAAGGCCAACCAAGGCGACGAACCGUAACUGGUCUGUGAGGAUGAUCAGUCACACUGUGACUGAGACACGGUCCAGACUCCUACGGUAGGCAGCAGUGGGGAAUAUUGGACAAUGGGCGAACGCCUGAUGCAUCCAUGCCGCGUGUAUGAAGAAGGACUUCGGAUUGUAAAGCACUUUAAGUUGGGAGGCGUUACCCACAGAAUAAGCACCGGCUAACUUCGUGCCAGCAGCCGCGGUAAUAC
rnacentral:rRNA from 1 species